rnacentral:rRNA from 1 species
GACGAACGCUGGCGGCGUGCUUAACACAUGCAAGUCGAACGGAAAGGCCCUGCUUUUGUGGGGUGCUCGAGUGGCGAACGGGUGAGUAACACGUGAGUAACCUGCCCUUGACUUUGGGAUAACUUCAGGAAACUGGGGCUAAUACCGGAUAGGAGCUCCUGCUGCAUGGUGGGGGUUGGAAAGUUUCGGCGGUUGGGGAUGGACUCGCGGCUUAUCAGCUUGUUGGUGGGGUAGUGGCUUACCAAGGCUUUGACGGGUAGCCGGCCUGAGAGGGUGACCGGCCACAUUGGGACUGAGAUACGGCCCAGACUCCUACGGGGGGCAGCAGUGGGGAAUAUUGCACAAUGGGCGGAAGCCUGAUGCAGCAACGCCGCGUGCGGGAUGACGGCCUUCGGGUUGUAAACCGCUUUCGCCUGUGACGAAGCGUGAGUGACGGUAAUGGGUAAAGAAGCACCGGCUAAUUACGUG